CUGAAAGGAAUUAUCUGUUCUGUUAUAGUUACUACUUACAUCAAAUCUUCCAGAGCUUCAUUGGUCACAAAUUAUUUCACUGUAGGACUGUGUUCAUGCUGCCACUCAGUGGUAGCAAAGAGCUCAUCUCUGUCUAUCCAUUCCGUCUGCAUGCAACAGCUGCAGAUAGAGAACUAGACACUCUUUAACCAGCUAGCUGGAUGAGAGCCCACAAAAAAAACGACUCCUCUAAACUUCUCAGUGAUAAGAGAAAAAAUAAGAAUCUGCUCCAACAACAUUACUUUCCAAUUCAGCCCAGAAAGCUAAUAUAACUCCAAUGAACGGCCC